rnacentral:rRNA from 1 species
GGGCUUAAAUUCGAAUGGAACCUUUGGUUAAAGGUUAAGAAAUUCUUCCAAUUAGGGGGGCCCUUCGAAAUGUGGGAACGGGUUGAAAACGGGGGGAAACUUCUUUUUGGAGGGGGUAACCUUUGGAACCGGGUUCUAACCCGGUUAACAAUGACAACCGCAUGGUUGUUAUUUAAAAGAUGGUUCUGCUAUCACUAAGAGAUGGUCCCGCGGUGCAUUAGCUAGUUGGUAAGGUAAUGGCUUACCAAGGCGAUGAUGCAUAGCCGAGUUGAGAGACUGAUCGGCCACAAUGGGACUGAGACACGGCCCAUACUCCUACGGGAGGCAGCAGUAGGGAAUCUUUCCACAAUGGGGGAAAGCCUGAUGGAGCAACGCCGCGGUGGUGAUGAAGGGUUUCGGCUCGUAAAACAAUGUUGUAAGAGAAGAAUGACAUUGAGAGUAACUGUUCAAUGUGUGACGGUAUCUUACCAGAAAGGAACGGCUAAAUACGUGCCAGCAGCCGCGGUAAUACGUAUGUUCCAAGCGUUAUCCGGAUUUAUUGGGCGUAAAGCGAGCGCAGACGGUUAUUUAAGUCUGAAGUGAAAGCCCUCAGCUCAACUGAGGAAUUGCUUUGGAAACUGGAUGACUUGAGUGCAGUAGAGGAAAGUGGAACUCCAUGUGUAGCGGUGAAAUGCGUAGAUAUAUGGAAGAACACCAGUGGCGAAGGCGGCUUUCUGGACUGUAACUGACGUUGAGGCUCGAAAGUGUGGGUAGCAAACAGGAUUAGAUACCCUGGUAGUCCACACCGUAAACGAUGAGUGCUAGGUGUUUGAGGGUUUCCGCCCUUAAGUGCCGCAGCUAACGCAUUAAGCACUCCGCCUGGGGAGUACGACCGCAAGGUUGAAACUCAAAGGAAUUGACGGGGACCCGCACAAGCGGUGGAGCAUGUGGUUUAAUUCGAAGCAACGCGAAGAACCUUACCAGGUCUUGACAUCCCUUGACAACUCCAGAGAUGGAGCGUUCCCUUCGGGGACAAGGUGACAGGUGGUGCAUGGUUGUCGUCAGCUCGUGUCGUGAGAUGUUGGGUUAAGUCCCGCAACGAGCGCAACCCUUAUUACUAGUUGCCAGCAUUCAGUUGGGCACUCUAGUGAGACUGCCGGUGACAAACCGGAGGAAGGUGGGGAUGACGUCAAAUCAUCAUGCCCCUUAUGACCUGGGCUACACACGUGCUACAAUGGCGUAUACAACGAGUUGCCAACCCGCGAGGGUGAGCUAAUCUCUUAAAGUACGUCUCAGUUCGGAUUGUAGGCUGCAACUCGCCUACAUGAAGUCGGAAUCGCUAGUAAUCGCGGAUCAGCACGCCGCGGUGAAUACGUUCCCGGGUCUUGUACACACCGCCCGUCACACCAUGAGAGUUUGUAACACCCAAAGCCGGUGGGGUAACCUUCGGGAGCCAGCCGUCUAAGGUGGGACAGAUGAUUAGGGUGAAGUCGUAACAAGUGCCAUGG